rnacentral:rRNA from 1 species
GAUGAACGCUAGCUACAGGCUUAACACAUGCAAGUCGAGGGGUAACAAGAGGAAAGCUUGCUUUUCUUGUUGACGACCGGCGCACGGGUGAGUAACGCGUAUCCAACCUGCCUAUAACUAGGGAAUAACCUUGCGAAAGUAAGACUAAUACCCUAUGAUUUCCUCUGAUGACAUCAGAUUAGGAAUAAAGAUUUAUCGGUUAUAGAUGGGGAUGCGUCUGAUUAGCUUGUUGGCGGGGUAACGGCCCACCAAGGCAACGAUCAGUAGGGGUUCUGAGAGGAAGAUCCCCCACAUUGGAACUGAGACACGGUCCAAACUCCUACGGGAGGCAGCAGUGAGGAAUAUUGGUCAAUGGGCGGAAGCCUGAACCAGCCAAGUAGCGUGCAGGAUGACGGCCCUAUGGGUUGUAAACUGCUUUUAUACAGGAAUAAAGUUAGCCACGUGUGGUUAUUUGUAGGUACUGUAUGAAUAAGGACCGGCUAAUUCCGUGCCAGCAGCCGCAGUAA